UAGGGAAUCUUCGGCAAUGGGGGCAACCCUGACCGAGCAACGCCGCGUGAGUGAAGAAGGUUUUCGGAUCGUAAAGCUCUGUUGUAAGAGAAGAACGUGUGUGAGAGUGGAAAGUUCACACAGUGACGGUAACUUACCAGAAAGGGACGGCUAACUACGUGCCAGCAGCCGCGGUAAUACGUAGGUCCCGAGCGUUGUCCGGAUUUAUUGGGCGUAAAGCGAGCGCAGGCGGUUUAAUAAGUCUGAAGUUAAAGGCAGUGGCUUAACCAUUGUUCGCUUUGGAAACUGUUAAACUUGAGUGCAGGAGGGGAGAGUGGAAUUCCAUGUGUAGCGGUGAAAUGCGUAGAUAUAUGGAGGAACACCGGUGGCGAAAGCGGCUCUCUGGUCUGUAACUGACGCUGAGGCUCGAAAGAGUGGGGAGCAAACAGG
rnacentral:rRNA from 1 species